CUUGGUUUCCUUUUGCUUCGCUCCGCCCAAGGCGCUUCCAAAGCUUUGAUGGGAUGAUACCGGGGAAGCGGGGCGGAGCCAUGCGUGGAUGUUGGUUUGAAGUAUGGCCGAAUGUUGGGUGACUUCGCAUUUCUAUUAUGCGGUUUGAUUGAUUAGAGAAGCUUGAGUGGUUGAUGUUUCUAUGAGUUUGGAUUGAUCUCUGAUGCUGCUUAUAAGUUGCAUGAUUCUGUGCUUUUGGCUUUGCCCAUGUUUCAUUGAUAUUGGUGUGGGAGAGUAUGAAGUUGGAGCCGUUAAUAAUUGGUUUCGUUUUGUAUGAUCUAUGUGGUUGUUUCUGUUUCUGAAGGAUUUGCUGUUAAUAACCGGUUUCGUUGUUUCUUUUUGUGAUGGAUCUUCUGAUGCAAAAUCGGUGAUUGGAGUGUUUAAAAGCUGUAGGUUGGAUUGAUUUUUCUUCUGUUGCGGAUUAGAAAGCUGAGCUCUGAUGUUUGGAUUCAGGUUUUUGAUUCGACGAGGAAGAUCAUUGGCAUUAACUAUUGAAGGAGGUCUACUUUGGUAGAGGCUGGAUUCUAAAGACUUCCAUUUGGUGUGUGGAGGAUCUAAUAGAGGAUUUGAUCUUUUCGAAAGGGGUUUUCUCACUCACUUUAUUGUUGAACUCAAUUCUGAUUACUGUUCAAUACCUUGGUUGAAAAUGUGUGUGGUGAUUCAGUUUUGCGGGAUAAAAUUGCCAACUUGUUUGAUCAGGGAAAUUGGAAAUUGAUUUUGUCUGGUGCUUAGUUUGCUGGUAAGGACUCAUGUCAAUGUGCAAGGGUUUUGCUUUGUGCAUGAUCUAAAGGUGGAAGUAGUAGUAGGAAGGAGUCUCAUACUAUGGUAGGUUGUGUAGGUUGCAGGCAAGUGAUUUGUCUAGCGCAUUGAUCCGGUAAAGGAGUGGUUUUAGUUUUAGGUUUCUACUAAAAAAAGCAAUGCAGCUGAAGUUGACGUCUGUCAGUGUCUGCAAAAGGGGUUUCCUAUGACUAGACAAAACCUGUAUCUUGAUAAAUUCACUGUUGUUUUGUAUGGUGUUACUUCAGGGAUGAUUUACAUUGAAUGAGAGUUUCCAUACUGCUGCAAAGUGCAUUGAUGAUUGGGUAACUGGUUUGGAUUUAUUGCUUUAUGAUGGUAUAAACUGGCUGUUUCCUUUUGGUAAUUGCGAGAGCUCUGUGGUUCUUAUGUGAUGGAAAUUGGAGAGUGAUAGUUGGGCGUAUUGCGAACCGUGCUGAUAGCAAGGGAUGGGAAUUCCUUCUGUGCCUAUUGGUUUUAUGCCUCCAUAUAAGCCACAGGUCUCACUGAAUAAUUGUGGGAACAAGGUGGUGGUUUUGGUUUAUAUCUCAAGUCUGCAGUAUUCUUUAGUAUGGAAAACUUUUUGGGUUUCUGAAAUCUCCAUGGUUAAACCAAGCUUUUGAUGUUUUGAGGAAUUGUUGCUCUUAAGAUUAUUGCGGUGCAGUGAAUUGGAGGUACUCUGAAAAUUCCAAAAGAUGGUUUGAGGUGAACCGUAUGGAAAUUUUUUUUAUCUAUUUUCUGCCUCUGAAUGAGUUGCACCGGUAGGAAUUGUACAUGGGGUUUCUUGGAUUCAAGAGACUGUCAUGGUUGCUGGAUUUGUCUGAUUGAUUUUCUUGGAAAGGGGUUUCUGGAUCACUUCAAAAUUGAACUAGUUCUGCUUUCUACUUGCUAUAUUGGCCUCUUGAAGUUUUGAACAUGUUUGUGGUAUUUGUGCUUUGGAGGCUUAAUUGUCAAUUGGCUAGACUAUGGAAUAUUGGAAUUCAUUGUCUGGUGCUUGGCUUUUAAAAGGGGGGCUUCAUGUCACCGCACAAAAAUAUGCUUUCUCUGUAAGCUGUUAUUUUUAUUUUGAUCCAUUUCAACAAGUAAGGCUGAAAUUAUGGAUUGUAGAAAUUGCCUUUGGCCAGAAUUUGGAGUCUCUUAACUGUGAAAUCAGUAUCUUUCACUUGGGUGUUCUGUGUGCUUGGUGCUUGGUUUUCCUUAGAGGCAUUUCAUGUACCCGCACAAAAAUUGCUUUCGGUGUAAGCCAUUUUGUUAUUUUGAUUUAUUGUGAGAGCUAAGGCAGGAUACGGUGUUUUGUGCAAAUCUUCUUCUGUCAGAAUUUGAUGGUUCUUACCGUGGAAACUAGUGCCUUUCAAAGGGGAUGUUAUUCAUAACUAGACAACACAAAACAUUGACUUUUCUGUAAUCAUUUGAUCAGUUUAUUGCUGCUGUUUCCAAACUGCAACAGCUUGCAUCUUUUGAAGGGAUCGGAUGAAGCAUGAUUUCUCCCAAUCUGGUUUUGAUCCAUGUAUUGCAGCCAUUUUCAUGCAUCAGGUUGCACUUAUCAAUGCGGCAAAAGUUGGUUGAUAAGUUUGGGUUUUCUUAUCCUUAGAAAGGGGUCUUUAGAAAGGAAAGGGGGGUCUUUAGAAAGGAAAGAAUCCAUGUCAAUACAAUAUCAUGAUUUCACUAUGUUGUUUCCUAAAGACCUAUUUAUUAUUGUACUCCCUGGUUUGUGGUUAUCAAUGGUUUAUUAUUUUUGAACAGACUGAACAAUAUUAUUGACGAGGAUUAUUCGAUUA